AACGAACGCUGGCGGCAUGCCUAACACAUGCAAGUCGAACGAUCCCUUCGGGUCUAGUGGCGCACGGGUGCGUAACGCGUGGGAACCUGCCCUUAGGUUCGGAAUAACUCCCCGAAAGGGGUGCUAAUACCGGCUAAUGUCUUCGGACCAAAGGUUUAUCGCCUUUGGAUGGGCCCGCGUUGGAUUAGCUAGUUGGUAGGGUAAAAGCCUACCAAGGCGACGAUCCAUAGCUGGUCUGAGAGGAUGAUCAGCCACACUGGGACUGAGACACGGCCCAGACUCUUACGGGAGGCAGCAGUGGGGAAUAGUGGAACAGGGGCUAAAGCCUGAACCAGCAAGGCCGCGUGAGUGAUGAAGGCCUUAGGGUUGUAAAGCUCUUUGACCCGGGAUGAUAAUGACAGUACCGGGAGAAUAAGCUCCGGCUAACUCCGUG
rnacentral:rRNA from 1 species